rnacentral:rRNA from 1 species
AGCGAACGCUGGCGGCAGGCUUAACACAUGCAAGUCGAACGGGCGUAGCAAUACGUCAGUGGCAGACGGGUGAGUAACGCGUGGGAACGUACCUUUUGGUUCGGAACAACCCAGGGAAACUUGGGCUAAUACCGGAUAAGCCCUUACGGGGAAAGAUUUAUCGCCGAAAGAUCGGCCCGCGUCUGAUUAGCUUGUUGGUGAGGUAACGGCUCACCAAGGCGACGAUCAGUAGCUGGUCUGAGAGGAUGAUCAGCCACAUUGGGACUGAGACACGGCCCAAACUCCUACGGGAGGCAGCAGUGGGGAAUAUUGGACAAUGGGCGCAAGCCUGAUCCAGCCAUGCCGCGUGAGUGAUGAAGGCCCUAGGGUUGUAAAGCUCUUUUGUGCGGGAAGAUAAUGACGGUACGCAAGAAUAAGCCCCGGCUAACUUCGUGCCAGCCGCCGCCGUAAU